AAGUACGAGGACGCUUCCUUCGGGAAGCGAGCGUACACAGGUGCUGCAUGGCUGUCGUCAGCUCGUGUCGUGAGAUGUUGGGUUAAGUCCCAUAACGAGCGCAACCCCUAUCAUUAGUUGCCAUCAGGUCAAGCUGGGGACUCUAAUGAAACUGCCUACGCAAGUAGUGAGGAAGGUGGGGAUGACGUCAAAUCAGCACGGCCCUUACGUCCAGGGCUACACACGUGCUACAAUGGCCGGUACAAAGGGCAGCUACCUGGUGACAGGAUGCUAAUCUCAAAAGCCGGUCUCAGUUCGGAUCGGAGUCUGCAACCCGACUCCGUGAAGCUGGAAUCGCUAGUAACCGCAGAUCAGCUACGUUGCGGUGAAUACGUUCCCGGGCCUU
rnacentral:rRNA from 1 species